GAGAUCUUGGUGCAAUUGUUUACUGUGUUGGUGUGAAAGAUUUCAAUGAGACACAGCUGGCCCGGAUUGCGGACAGUAAGGAUCAUGUGUUUCCCGUGAAUGACGGCUUUCAGGCUCUGCAAGGCAUCAUCCACUCAAUUUUGAAGAAGUCCUGCAUCGAAAUUCUAGCAGCUGAACCAUCCACCAUAUGUGCAGGAGAGUCAUUUCAAGUUGUCGUGAGAGGAAACGGCUUCCGACAUGCCCGCAACGUGGACAGGGUCCUCUGCAGCUUCAAGAUCAAUGACUCGGUCACACUCAAUGAGAAGCCCUUUUCUGUGGAAGAUACUUAUUUACUGUGUCCAGCGCCUAUCUUAAAAGAAGUUGGCAUGAAAGCUGCACUCCAGGUCAGCAUGAACGAUGGCCUCUCUUUUAUCUCCAGUUCUGUCAUCAUCACCACCACACACUGUGAUGGCUUGUGGUUUUACAUACAAUCAUUAGAGACGGUAAAAGACCACAGGAAUAUCAGAGUGCGGAACUCAGAUCUCAAAUAUUGUUUAUGAACUGAAAUAAAAGUAGUUUGCCAACAUCUCUAUUUUGACAACCCUUGUAACCCUUAUAUGUAUAAAAAUAUCUUUUAAAAGA
rnacentral:lncRNA from 1 species